CCUCAGCAGCACCAGUGCACUGACUGUCACUCUGUGUCCUCUUAGGUCCUGCUAAGGUCUUACAAGACCUCAUCAUAGAAGACAUUGAGGAUGAUGAGCUGUUCCCUGAUGUGGAGAAGCCAGCGGUGCAGUAUCACCACCGUCCUGUUGAGGUCCCACAGGACCUCAUCAUAGAAGACAUUAAAGAUGAUGAGCUAUUCCCUGAUGUGGACACCGUGACAGCCCCAAGUGACCUCCCUCCUCCUGAGGAUUGCAGGAGCAU
rnacentral:lncRNA from 13 species